GCAUCGAUAGCUCAAUGACAGAGUUGUGGGGCGUUGAUCCAUGCAGCCCGAGUUCGAGCCCCGGUCGAUGCA